ACGCUCGACACCUACGGGAAGCAGCAGUGGGGAAUAUUGCACAAUGGGGGAAACCCUGAUGCAGCGACGCCGCGUGAAGGAUGAAGUAUUUCGGUAUGUAAACUUCUAUCAGCAGGGAAGAAAGUGACGGUACCUGACUAAGAAGCCCCGGCUAACUACGUGCCACAGCCGCGGUAAUCUGAGCGGGCUGGCAAGGC
rnacentral:rRNA from 1 species